GACGAACGCUGGCGGCGUGCUUAACACAUGCACGUCGAACGGAAAGGCCCUGCUUUUGUGGGGUGCUCGAGUGGCGAACGGGUGAGUAACACGUGAGUAACCUGCCCUUUACUUUGGGGUAACUUCAGGAAACUUGGGCUACUACCGGAUAGGAGCUCCUGCUGCAUGGUGGGGGUUGGAAAGUUUCGGCGGUUGGGGCUGGACUCGCGGCUUAUCAGCUUGUUGGUGGGGUAGUGGCUUACCAAGGCUUUGACGGGUAGCCGGCCUGAGAGGGUGACCGGCCACAUUGGGACUGAGAUACGGCCCAGACUCCUACGGGAGGCAGCAGUGGGGAAUAUUGCACAAUGGGCGGAAGCCUGAUGCAGCAACGCCGCGUGCGGGAUGACGGCCUUCGGGUUGUAAACCGCUUUCGCCUGUGACGAAGCGUGAGUGACGGUAAUGGGUAAAGAAGCACCGGCUAACUACGUG
rnacentral:rRNA from 1 species